CCUACGGGGAGGCAGCAGUAGGGAAUUUUCGUCAAUGGGCGCAAGCCUGAAUGAGCAAUGCCGCGUGAACGAGGAAGGUCUUCGGAUCGUAAAGUUCUGUUGAAGGGGAAAAAGAGCGGAGAGAGGAAAUGAACUCCGAUUGAUAUUACCCUUCGAGGAAGUCACGGCUAACUACGUGCCAGCAGCCGCGGUAAUACGUAGGUGGCGAGCGUUAUCGGGAAUGAUUGGGCGUAAAGGGUGGGUAGGCGGCCUGCUAAGUCCGGAGUGAAAGGUACCGGUUCAACCGGUACAGGCUCUGGAAACUGGCGGGCUAGAGAGCAGGAGAGGGCGGUGGAACUCCAUGUGUAGCGGUAAAAUGUGUAGAUAUAUGGAAGAACACCAGUGGCGAAAGCGGCCGCCUGGCCUGUUACUGACGCUGAGGCACGAAAGCGUGGGGAGCAAAUAGGAUUAGAUACCCCUGUAGUC
rnacentral:rRNA from 1 species